AAGAUUAAGCCAUGCAUGUCUAAGUAUAAACACCUUUAUACAGUGAAACUGCGAAUGGCUCAUUAAAUCAGUUAUAGUUUAUUUGAUAGUACCUCACUACAUGGAUAACCGUAGUAAUUCUAGAGCUAAUACGUGCUAAAAAACCCGACUUUACGGAAGGGUUGUAUUUAUUAGAUAAAAACCAAUGCGGUCUCGGCCGGUCAUUUGGUGAUUCAUAAUAACUUUGCGAAUCGUAU
rnacentral:rRNA from 1 species